AGCGAACGCUGGCGGCAGGCCUAACACAUGCAAGUCGAACGGAUCCUUCGGGAUUAGUGGCGGACGGGUGAGGAACACGUGGGAACGUGCCUUUUGGUUCGGAACAACUCAGGGGAAACUUGAGCUAAUACCGGAUGUGCCCUUCGGGGGAAAGAUUUAUCGCCAAAGGAUUAGCCCGCGUAGGAUUAGCUAGUUGGUGAGGUAAUGGCUCACCAAGGCUCCGAUCCUUAGCUGUUCUGAGAGGAAGAUCAGCCACACUGGGACUGAGACACGGCCCAGACUCCUACGGGAGGCAGCAGUUGGGAAUCUUGGACAAUGGGGGAAACCCUGAUCCAGCCAUGCCGCGUGAGUGAUGAAGGCCUUCGGGUU
rnacentral:rRNA from 1 species